rnacentral:rRNA from 1 species
GUCGAGCGGAGUGAUGGUGCUUGCACUAUCACUUAGCGGCGGACGGGUGAGUAAUGCUUAGGAAUCUGCCUAUUAGUGGGGGACAACAUCUCGAAAGGGAUGCUAAUACCGCAUACGUCCUACGGGAGAAAGCAGGGGAUCACUUGUGACCUUGCGCUAAUAGAUGAGCCUAAGUCGGAUUAGCUAGUUGGUGGGGUAAAGGCCUACCAAGGCGACGAUCUGUAGCGGGUCUGAGAGGAUGAUCCGCCACACUGGGACUGAGACACGGCCCAGACUCCUACGGGAGGCAGCAGUGGGGAAUAUUGGACAAUGGGGGGAACCCUGAUCCAGCCAUGCCGCGUGUGUGAAGAAGGCCUUAUGGUUGUAAAGCACUUUAAGCGAGGAGGAGGCUCUUUUGGUUAAUACCCAGAAUGAGUGGACGUUACUCGCAGAAUAAGCACCGGCUAACUCUGUGCCAGCAGCCGCGGUAAUACAGAGGGUGCAAGCGUUAAUCGGAUUUACUGGGCGUAAAGCGCGCGUAGGCGGCCAAUUAAGUCAAAUGUGAAAUCCCCGAGCUUAACUUGGGAAUUGCAUUCGAUACUGGUUGGCUAGAGUGUGGGAGAGGAUGGUAGAAUUCCAGGUGUAGCGGUGAAAUGCGUAGAGAUCUGGAGGAAUACCGAUGGCGAAGGCAGCCAUCUGGCCUAACACUGACGCUGAGGUGCGAAAGCAUGGGGAGCAAACAGGAUUAGAUACCCUGGUAGUCCAUGCCGUAAACGAUGUCUACUAGCCGUUGGGGCCUUUGAGGCUUUAGUGGCGCAGCU